ACUUGCCCAAUGCCGUUCUGUCUCUGCUUCUGCUUCUGCCUGAAAUGCCUCUUUCCCUUCAUCCACCCAGCAAAUUCACACUUACUCUUUAAGGAUCAGAUGAACUGUAUUCAACCUGCCUGAGAACUUUUCCUGUGCUUUGAAGGAGACUUCCUUGCCCUUACCAUGUGAGGUCUGGUGUUGACACAUGAUGAAAGUGCACUGGGCAGGGAGGCCUCCCCUUGGCUGCCUGUGUGCGGUGCUCCCUGGGCUGGCCGUACCUGAUGCAGGCUCAGCCCGCUCCUUGUUCUCUGCUCCUCUCUCACUGCCUGUCUCACAGUGCGCAGCCCGACUGGCCCACAAACCCCGACUGAGGCCAUGAAGCAGCAAGAUGGGUUGUUUGCCCUCAGUCACACGCCAUCAAGUCUGGGCAUGGUCACCGUGUAAUUUCAUGAGAUGACUGAAAUCAUAAAACGAUUUUAACUUUAUUUCAUUUUCUUUCAUUUAUUCAUUUAGCUUGAUCAUCUACACAAUCUAAAAGUAUUUGGGGUCAGGAGAGCUGAGAGGACGAUUAAUUCAACAACCAUCAAGGCAUAUGACAGCCCUCAAGGCAGCUCGGAGCCGCUCCACUCACCAGCUGCUUCUGGACGCAUUUGCCAAGUUGCCAGACAUUGUGGAAAGAGCAGUUGCUUCCCAUAUGACAUCUGUGAUAUCAGGGGAUCCCAGAAGAACCAGAUCUACCUUAGCCCUAGAUGUGAAUGAUGUGUGGGAGAAAAGUCAAGCAGCAAACUAGACCCCUAAGGCACGGCUGUCUUCAACUCCAGUGCUUCAGGCACAUGUAUGUGUUUGCCGGAUGCCUCUGCGCCCAGAAGCACUUCACCUACCAGGAGCCAGGGUCAAACAGGUUUGGAUCCCUGACCUCAUGGAAGACAGUUCCCGCUGGUCAUCCAUAGACCUGAGGAUGGUCGUCUCUUCUCCAGCUUCACUCUUCAGAGGCGGGGAUAGUGUCCUAUUCAUCUUUGUAUCCUGACAGCCCUUUGCACAAGAUCUGGCCUCUAGUAGGUAAGUGACCCAUAAAACGAUCUUACUGUGGAGAAGAGAUGCUGCAUUCCAGGAAGGCAACCUCUGGAAGUGCAGGUGGCCCCUGAUUGACCGGCUGGUACUUUAUCUCUCUGAUAAGGUCUCUUCUUGCUCUUUAGCCUGAACUCAGCCUCUGCUAUCAGAGGUUUAUGAGUUACUGUAAAAUCACUGGGGAAUCUUGGAGAGCUGUUGGUGAGGGCUGUGUGCUUCAAGAAGGUCUAGGGGACGCUGGUGAUCCAGUACUUACCGGGAAUAGAUGUCUCACUGCAGCCAACAUACGUUUUCUGAGCUACUAAUCUGAACAAUCCAUGCUCAUAUUUACAACUGUUUACAGACAAUAUUUCUUAGGAUAAAACAUAAACCAAUUAAUAUCCUGACCAGGACAUGCAUUAAAUAAACUGCUGAUUUUUUCCA
rnacentral:lncRNA from 12 species